rnacentral:lncRNA from 1 species
GGGUCCUGAAACACUUUUCUAAGUAAUCAUAGAAUAACAUCACUAUUAAAUUACGUCGCCUCAAAAAUUUCCUCCCACAGAAAUUGUUGAAUCCUUCAAGGACAAGUGAAGUUAGACAUAAUUAUCAAACCGAUAAGUGGUUUUUUGUCUCCUUUCAUUUCCACUAGCAUGCUGGAAGCUGCACAGGGGAGUUGGCAAGGGGGCACAAGGAAGCAAUGCCCCGCUGCUGUCCGUAGGGUGAACGCAAGACGGCUCGUGGCGGCCGCAAUGUCUACGCUGCGCUUUUCAUCUCUGAAGCCAUGCGCAGCAGCGUGCAGUCGUCAUGUUCAGAAAAGCAGUGCAAAGGUACCCGAAUAAGCUGUACAACAUUGCUGCAAGGUGCCUUGGUAAACCAGUACCCAGCCCUGAGGAACAGAUUGGACUCUGGCUAUACGCCAGGACAGGAGUUUGCCCACCCCACAUUGCUGUACACUGGUGACAACCGCAUCUCUUCCAAGGCCCUGUGUGUGAAGUGUGGAUAUGUAUGUGUAGAUGUAUUGGACUUCACUUCCGGUG